rnacentral:rRNA from 1 species
UACGGAGGGAGCUAGCGUUAUUCGGAAUUACUGGGCGUAAAGCGCACGUAGGCGGCUUUGUAAGUUAGAGGUGAAAGCCUGGAGCUCAACUCCAGAAUUGCCUUUGAUACUGCAUGGCUUGAAUCCAGGAGAGGUGAGUGGAACUGCGAGUGUAGAGGUGAAAUUCGUAGAUAUUCGCAAGAACACCAGUGGCGAAGGCGGCUCACUGGCCCGGUACUGACGCUGAGGUGCGAAAGCGUGGGGAGCAAACAGG